AACGAACGCUGGCGGCAGGCCUAACACAUGCAAGUCAAACGGCCCUUCGGGGCAGUGGCGCACGGGUGCGUAACGCGUGGGAAUGUACACCUUGGUAAGGAAUAACUGCUGGAAACGGUAGCUAAUACCUUAUAAUGACUCCGGUCCAAAGAUUUAUCGCCAAGGGAUCAGCCCGCGUCAGAUUAGAUAGUUGGUGGGGUAAUGGCCUACCAAGUCUACGAUCUGUAGGGGGUCUGAGAGGAUGAUCCCCCACACUGGUACUGAGACACGGACCAGACUCCUACGGGAGGCAGCAGUGAGGAAUAUUAGACAAUGGGCGAAAGCCUGAUCUAGCCAUGCCGCGUGAGUGAAGAAGGCCUUAGGGUUGUAAAGCUCUUUCAAUAGUGAAGAUAAUGACGGUAGCUAUAGAAGAAGCU
rnacentral:rRNA from 1 species